UACGUAGGGGGCAAGCGUGGUCCGGAUUUAUUGGGCGUAAAGAGCGUGUAGGCGGCCAGACAGGUCCGUUGUGAAAACUUGAGGCUCAACCUCGAGACGCCGAUGGAAACCGUCUGGCUAGAGUCCGGAAGAGGAGAGUGGAAUUCCUGGUGUAGCGGUGAAAUGCGCAGAUAUCAGGAAGAACACCCGUGGCUAAGGCGGCUCUCUAGUACGGUACUGACGCUGAGACGCGAAAGCGUGGGGAGCGAGCAGG
rnacentral:rRNA from 1 species